GUUCAUUCCUUAACAUAUACUAAAAUUGGAACAAUAGAGAGAAAAUUAACACGGCCCCUCCGCAAAAAUGACACGUAAAUUCAUGAAGCGUUCCAGAAUUUU
rnacentral:snRNA from 1 species